rnacentral:rRNA from 1 species
UACGAAGGGGGCUAGCGUUGCUCGGAAUUACUGGGCGUAAAGCGCACGUAGGCGGCUUUCUAAGUCGGGGGUGAAAUCCUGGAGCUCAACUCCAGAACUGCCUUCGAUACUGGAGAGCUCGAGUCCGGGAGAGGUGAGUGGAACUGCGAGUGUAGAGGUGAAAUUCGUAGAUAUUCGGAAGAACACCAGUGGCGAAGGCGGCUCACUGGUCCGGUACUGACGCUGAGGUGCGAAAGCGUGGGGAGCAAACAGG